rnacentral:rRNA from 1 species
AUUGAACGCUGGCGGCAGGCCUAACACAUGCAAGUCGAGCGGAUGAAGGGAGCUUGCUCCUGGAUUCAGCGGCGGACGGGUGAGUAAUUCCUAGGAAUCUGCCUGGUAGUGGGGGAUAACGUCCGGAAACGGGCGCUAAUACCGCAUACGUCCUGAGGUAGAAAGAGGGGGUUCUUCGGACCUCACGCUAUCAGAUGAGCCUAGGUCGGAUUAGCUAGUUGGUGGGGUAAAGGCCUACCAAGGCGACGAUCCGUAACUGGUCUGAGAGGAUGAUCAGUCACACUGGAACUGGGACACGGUCCAGACUCCUACGGGAGGCAGCGGUGGGGAUUAUUGGACAAUGGGGGAAAGCCUGAUCAAGCCAUGCCGCGUGGGUGAAGAAGGUCUUCGGAUUGAAAAGCACUUUAAGUUGGGAGGAAGGGCAGUAAGUUAAUACCUUGCUGUUUUGACGUUACCAACAGAGUAAGCACCGGCUAACUACGUG